rnacentral:tRNA from 3 species
GGAGAGGUGGCAGAGUGGUCGAUUGCGCUCGACUUGAAAUCGAGUGAGCCGCAAGGUUCCGAGGGUUCGAAUCCCUCCCUCUCCG